CAGUCGCCACGGUAAUGCGUAGGGUGCGAGCGUUAAUCGGAAUUACUGGGCGUAAAGCGUGCGCAGGCGGUUGUGUAAGACAGGUGUGAAAUCCCCGGGCUAAACCUGGGAACUGCGCUUGUGACUGCACAGCUAGAGUAUGGCAGAGGGGGGUGGAAUUCCACGUGUAGCAGUGAAAUGCGUAGAGAUGUGGAGGAACACCGAUGGCGAAGGCAGCCCCCUGGGCCAAUACUGACGCUCAUGCACGGAAGCGUGGGGAGCAAACAGGAUUAGAUACCCCGGUAGUCCCUGUCUCUUAUAC
rnacentral:rRNA from 1 species